rnacentral:rRNA from 1 species
UUGGGCAAUGGACGCAAGUCUGACCCAGCCAUCCCGCGUGCAGGACGAAUGCCCUACUGGGUUGUAAACUGCUUUUGUUUGGGAAGAAAUGUAUUCUUUUAAGAGUAUUUGACGGUACCAGACGAAUAAGCACCGGCUAACUCCGUGCCAGCAGCCGCGGUAAUACGGAGGGUGCAAGCGUUAUCCGGAAUCACUGGGUUUAAAGGGUGCGUAGGCGGCCAUAUAAGUCAGAGGUGAAAGUUUCCGGCUCAACCGGGAGAUUGCCUUUGAUACUGUUUGGCUUGAAUCAGAUUGAGGUUGGCGGAAUGUGACAUGUAGCGGUGAAAUGCAUAGAUAUGUCAUAGAACAUCGAUUGCGAAGGCAGCUGGCUGGAUCUGUAUUGACGCUGAGGCACGAAAGCGUGG